rnacentral:rRNA from 1 species
AACGAACGCUGGCGGCAUGCCUAACACAUGCAAGUCGAACGAGACCUUCGGGUCUAGUGGCGCACGGGUGCGUAACGCGUGGGAACCUGCCCUUAGGUUCGGAAUAACUCCCCGAAAGGGGUGCUAAUACUGGAUAAUGUCUUCGGACCAAAGAUUUAUCGCCUUUGGAUGGGCCCGCGUUGGAUUAGCUAGUUGGUAGGGUAAAAGCCUACCAAGGCGACGAUCCAUAGCUGGUCUGAGAGGAUGAUCAGCCACACUGGGACUGAGACACGGCCCAGACUCCUACGGGAGGCAGCAGUGGGGAAUAUUGGAAAAUGGGCGAAAGCAUGAUCCAGCAAUGCCGCGUGAGUGAUGAAGGCCUUAGGGUUGUAAAGCUCUUUUACCCGGGAUGAUAAUGACAGUACCGGGAGAAUAAGCUCCGGCUAACUCCGUG